CCUACGGGUGGCUACAGUGAGGAAUAUUGGUCAAUGGCCGGAAGGCUGAACCAGCCAAGCCGCGUGAAGGACGAAGGUGCCAAGCAUUGUAAACUUCUUUUGUCAGGGGACAAAAACAGGCUCGAGAGCCUGACCGAGGGUACUUGAAGAAAAAGCAUCGGCUAACUCCGUGCCAGCAGCCGCGGUAAUACGGAGGAUGCGAGCGUUAUCCGGAUUUAUGGGGUUAAAAGGGUGCGUAGGCGGACGGUAAAGUCAGAGGUAAAAGCCCGGGGCGAAACCCCGGAUAGCCGUUGAAACUGGCUGGCUAGAGAGUUCGAGAGGUAGGCGGAAUGCGCUGUGUAGCGGUGAAAUGCUUAGACAUUGCGCAGAACUCCGAUUGCGAAGGCAGCAUACCGGCGUCCAUCUGACGCUGAGGCACGAAAGCGUGGGUAUCGAACAGGAUUAGAUACCCCAGUAGUC
rnacentral:rRNA from 1 species